GGCUCGGUAGCGGAUGUUUCCGCGCCUGCCCAAAAUAUGAAGUCUGUUUGUGGAUUGCCGGCAAAUCCCGCCUGUUCGAAUCAGGCCCGAGCCA